AUUUAAGGGGGCGGGAUCCAUAGAUCAAGCAGGAGAAAAGAUCCCGCCCUGCAGGAGCAGGGACAGCCCUUCCUCCUCUCGCGCCCCCCCUCCUCUUCCAACAUGUCACUUUCUUUCAUUCCCGAGGAACGACGGAAUCGCAGGUUUUCGCCAAGAGAAGUCCUCACUGUAGCUGGACGGAGGGGAGCCUGGACCCCCGGCCCGGGCGGCUGCAGCUGCUCCCCGCCGGCUGCUUUGCAAGUUCGAAGAUGCGUACCAACAAUUGAAGACUCCUCCUGAUAGCAGUUGCUUGCGUCUUCAUUUCUCAGACAGGAGCUAUUUAAACCAAGGCUUAGAGUUAUAGUUAUGAUGCACAGUCUUCAGCCAGAAGUGUUACUCAGACAUAGUUAGAGGAUUUGGGCCAUUUGAGCCUUCCUAAGAACGACAACCCCCCUGGAGCUCCUCAUUGCCUGCAGGUUCAUGGCAGACGUGAGGUGAUGUGCACGUGGACAGCUCAUCUUGUAUGCCUGAAGAUACAGCAGCUCUGCUAAGGAGAAAAAAGGCCCCUGGGCCAGGAGUCAGCAGUUGUCAAGAUUUGACAUGCUUCUACUGAGAGCAUCAGGAGGGAUCCAGUCACUACCUCUCUGCUGCUUUUGCAGCCUUGUAACGGUUCUGACCAAGAACUCUCCCCAAGCCACUUUCCUACAAAACACAAGAAAUGAAAGAGGAGCUUCUGCAUUGCUUGAACACAGAAGAACUGUGCCAUGUUAGGGCCAUUUCAUGCCAUCUACAGGGCAUGCCAACGGUGACCAUUCAACAGUGAUGAGACAUCACAGACUCUCUCUUAUCUCGGUUUGCAUUGUGUCACACAUGCCACUGGAGUGUAUGAGGACUGGGAACAGAAGUCACAUAAAGGUCACUCUCAAAGUGGGGUGAAUUUUACCAACGCAAUCAUUUCCGGC
rnacentral:lncRNA from 1 species